rnacentral:rRNA from 1 species
UAUCAGCAGUGAGGAAUAUUGGUCAAUAGUCUAACGACUGAACCAGCAACUUGGAAGAAUGUAUAGUGAAAACUAUUUAUAAAUUAUAUUUAUAAUAUAAAUAAAUAUAUGUAAUAAAUGAAAAUUAUCUAUAAAUUGUGUAAUUUAUUACUAGAGUAAAGUGAACGUUGUUCAUUAAAAUUCUAAAUAAAAAAUGAUAAUGACAUUGUCUACUUAUGUGUCUUGACCAAAUUACGUGCCAGCAGUCGCGGUAAUACGUAGAAGACUAGUGUUAUUCAUCUUUAUUAGGUUUAAAGGGUACCUAGACGGCUUAUGACACCUUAAAUAUUAGGUAAUAAUUAGCUAGAGUUUGAUAUAAGGAGAUAGUACCGGGAGUGUAGAGAUUUAAUUUUAUGAUCCCCUGAGGCACUACUAACGGCGAAGGCAAUCCUUUAUGUGAUAACUGACGUUGAAGGACGAAGGG